rnacentral:rRNA from 1 species
GACGAACGCUGGCGGCGUGCUUAACACAUGCAAGUCGAACGGAAAGGCCCUGCUUUUGUGGGGUGCUCGAGUGGCGAACGGGUGAGCAACACGUGAGUAACCUGCCCUUGACUUUGGGAUAACUUCAGGACACUGGGGCUAAUACCGGAUAGGAGCUCCUGCUGCAUGGUGGGGGUUGGAAAGUUUCGGCGGUUGGGGAUGGACUCGCGGCUUAUCAGCUUGUUGGUGGGGUAGUGGCUUACCAAGGCUUUGACGGGUAGCCGGCCUGAGAGGGUGACCGGCCACAUUGGGACUGAGAUGAGACCCGGACUCCUACGGGAGGCAGCAGUGGGGAAUAGUGCACAAUGGGCGGAAGGCUGAUGCAGCAACGCCGCGUGCGGGAUGACGGCCUUCGGGUUGUAAACCGCUUUCGCCUGAGACGAAGCGUGAGUGACGGUAAUGGGUAAAGAAGCACCGGCUAACUACGUG